GACGAACGCUGGCGGCGUGCUUAACACAUGCAAGUCGAACGGUAAGGCCCUUCGGGGUACACGAGUGGCGAACGGGUGAGUAACACGUGGGUGAUCUGCCCUGCACUUCGGGAUAAGCCUGGGAAACUGGGUCUAAUACCGGAUAGGACCAUGGACUUCACGGUUUGUGGUGGAAAGCUUUUGCGGUGUGGGAUGGGCCCGCGGCCUAUCAGCUUGUUGGUGGGGUAAUGGCCUACCAAGGCGACGACGGGUAGCCGGCCUGAGAGGGUGUCCGGCCACACUGGGACUGAGAUACGGCCCAGACUCCUACGGGAGGCAGCAGUGGGGAAUAUUGCACAAUGGGCGCAAGCCUGAUGCAGCGACGCCGCGUGAGGGAUGACGGCCUCGGUUGUAACCUCUUCAAUAGGGACGAAGCGCAAGUGACGGUACCUAUAGAAGAAGAC
rnacentral:rRNA from 1 species